GCGGCUGUCGUCUAGCCUGGUCUAGGACAUCAGCUUGCCAAGCUGGUAGCCCGGGUUCAAAUCCCGGCAGCCGCACCA
rnacentral:tRNA from 1 species